AAUAAGUUAGUACAAAAGUGAUUAGUUAAAGAAAAAAAUACUACUACAUCGAAAUUUUGAAGUCUUUUAUAUUUUAGGAUAAAUUUAAAUGGUAAAAUUUUAUAUUAUAGAAUGGAGGAAAUAUGCAAAGUUUUGUCCAUUGACUAUGAAAAGUCAGGCUGAAAAACAACAAAUUUAAACAAAUUAACAAUGAGUUAUUUUUUUAUAAAAAAAUAAGUAAAGUUAUACCUGGCAAAUCCGGAAAAACUACUCAAACGGACCAGGACACCGAUCAAAGUUAACAAUUUUUUUAGAUCAAUUUUUAAAAUUUAACCGUGCUAUCACCGCUUAUGGAACUAAGCACCGGUUUGUUGAAAAAUGCGGGGGCCACCUAUCAGAUGUCAGAUGGAAUGGAAUGGAAGGAAAGAACAAGACAAAGGGGAGUCACUAAGAUGGCCUUAUUUUAUUCUAAGUGGGGUCAUCUUAGUACAAUGAGUGAUUCUACACAUGUUUGUAUACCUUUUUCCUGUUUGGUAUUUGUGUGGUGGAUCCUACAUUGAACCUUCAGAACAACUCUCUAAAGUCUAGAUUAUAUUAAAUCUCCAAAUCCCUAAAUAUUGCCAAGAACUGGUUAUAAAUGGCAGUGAACCGGUAAACUACUCUCUCUAUCCAAAAUAUAACCAAGAACAAAUUAAAACCGUUCCUCUGAAUAUGGGAUUU
rnacentral:sRNA from 1 species